UACGUAGGGGGGCAAGCGUUGUCCGGAAUCAUUGGGCGUAAAGAGCGCGUAGGCGGCCCAGUAAGUCCGCUCUGAAAGUCAGAGGCUCAACCUCUGAAUGCGGGUGGAUACUGCUGGGCUAGAGUCCGGAAGAGGCGAGUGGAAUUCCUGGUGGUAGCGGUGAAAUGCGCAGAUAUCAGGAGGAACACCGGUGGCGAAGGCGGCUCUCUGGGGACG
rnacentral:rRNA from 1 species